rnacentral:rRNA from 1 species
GACGAACGCUGGCGGCGUGCUUAACACAUGCAAGUCGAACGGAAAGGCCCUGCUUUUGUGGGGUGCUCGAGGUGCGAACGGGUGAGUAACACGUGAGUAACCUGCCCUUGACUUUGGGAUAACUUCAGGAAACUGGGGCUAAUACCGGAUAGGAGCUCCUGCUGCAUGGUGGGGGUUGGAAAGUUUCGGCGGUUGGGGAUGGACUCGCGGCUUAUCGGCUUGUUGGUGGGGUAGUGGGUUACCAAAGCUUUGACGGGUAGCCGGCCUGAGAGGGUGAGCGGGAACAUUCGGACUGAGACACGGACCAGACCCCUACGGGAGGGAGCAGUGGGGAAUAUUGCACAAUGGGCGGAAGCCUGAUGCAGCAACGGCGCGUGCGGGAUGACGGCCUUCGGGUUGUAAACCGCUUUCGCCUGUGACGAAGCGUGAGUGAAGGUAAUGGGUAAAGAAGCACCGGCUAACUACGUG